GAAGGCAGUCGCUUAACCAACUGAGCCACCCAGGCGCCCUGGCGUAUUGAUUUCUUUACACCAGUAAAAGGAAGUCAGCCUUUACCAGGAAAUGACAGAUCUUUUUCUUCUGUAAAACUUAACCCGGAAGUAUCUACUAUCCUUGGAUUUUUUUUUUUUUUCCUAUUUCAUUGUCAAUGUUCCACUGACUAAAUUCAACAGCAUAAUUUUUGCUAGCAAAGAGGAUGAAAAGCCUGUGGAGAAGAAACUUUUAAACAGAAUUUUAACUUUUUUUUUUUUUCAGAAUUUUCACUUUUAACCUGUCAAUGUGUACUACAUUAUAUAUAAAAUGUAUACACACACACACACAUAUAUGGCACUUUUCAUUUCGGUACAAUGCCUUGCUUGCGAGUGAGUAUUGAUUAUCAAACAACUGUCUAGAAGGGGUGGGUAGAGAACCCCUUUAGAUGAAAGGCCAUGGCACUGUGUGUUCACUGGUGCUCAGAGUAGAGCACCUCUUACUAAACCCUGAGUAUCACAAGUUCCUCCCCAAAUGAUUUCAGAUAGUGUGCAGGAAGGAGAUUCGCUAUGCAGAAAAGGUCAUGGGAAAAUGACAUAAUGGAAGUCACAAUGCAAGUUGGUUAGAUGCGGACACAGACAGUAUCUGUAAGGCACGAACAUUAAUCUGCAGCGUGGCCCUAGAGAAACUGAGUAACUCUGUGUGCCAAGCUUUUAAAUGGUCUCGUCAGGAUUUGACCCAGGCCAUCAUAUUUUCAAAGCCCUUGGGAUGCCCACUGCAUCUGCCGGCUCACGGCGCUCCUCCCCUGCCCUCGUGGAGCUAUAGACUCUCGAUACGCUUUUUUGUUGCAGUUUACUUUUGGUGAGUGGUGCUCACUUUGGUCGUCUUCUCUGAAUCCUGGGAAGCUGUCAUUUUCUACUUGCCAUGUAGAUGUGAUGGAGCCCUCUGCCAUUUGUGUAGUCAUCUGAGACAGCAUCUCUGAAGUCUGGCUUUAUUUGAGAUAUGAGAGCCUUUUUGUUCCCAAGUAAAUAACUUGUAGUAGACGCAUUCCAGGAAGGACACCAGCAAUUCCACUUUUAGAUUAUAUCAACUGUAACUACGUUCUAAAGGAAUGCAGAUAAUAUUCCUUCAGCUCUUUUUGAUUGCUUAAUGGAAAUGUUAUAAAAUCUACUUUAAAGAUGGUCAUUAUAGAUGCUGUUCUUAACAUGUGGUUACAAAUGUGUGCUGUUGGCAGUGGCUAAAAACAGGUUAGAAAAGCAGAUGUCAUUUCUCCAAAGCUCUUGAUCUAGAUUCUUAGCUUGACACCCCAAGGCAUCAAGCUUCAAGUGUGGAGCAAAUUAGAAGCCCUGAGUUUCUUAGGCAGGACUGGGUUCCGAGGGACACUGGUGCAUUUCCAUCUAGCGAGCAUACCAAUAAAAGGCAAAAUAAUAAUAGUAGUGGCAGAAAUUUAGAGCAGAUUUUAGUGGAACAGUUGAAACUGGCAUUCGCUAACCAACUCUUGUUUGAAAUGCUGCCAGAGAGCAUAGAGACAGGAAAAUGUCUCUUGGUUUAAUUGGAUCAUUUCCUGAAAGAUCGUUUUACAAGAUAUCUUCCAGUGUUUAUUUGAGGCUUUUCAACUAUCUCUAAGAGAAACUUUUUCCUUUUGAUUAUUAUGUAACAUUACCAAUAACGAAACUAGAUUAAGGAACGAUCAAGCCAAAACCCAAUUUUCUUUUACUUAAUUCAUCUUGACAUUAAAGUUUUUUUUUAAAUAGAAUAAUCCCUUCUUAAUCUCAGAGUGUUCACCUCUCAAAUAUUUGAAUAACAUUAUCAAGUUCUUUUUCUACCUCAUCACACAAGGUAGGGAAUGUCAAGUAACACGUGUGUUGUUUUUUAAUCUUUCUCCUUACAGAACUAAAGGUAUGUUUAGUUUGAUUAAGCCGUAGGGUCAGGAGGAUGGCUAAACUCCACUAUGUUUUCCCUUCAAUUGGUCUAAAGAAAACAGAGCUUUAAAAAAUUCUCAAAAUCUUAAAUCACACACUCAAAAUAAUUGGAAUUCUGGCCCCUUGUUCCCCACUGUCUUCCGUUCCAUGCACAUGCUUUUUUCACUUCAGGAUAGGAAUUUUGUCAAAACACCACAGUGGCCUCACAUACUGAUUUUCCUGAGAUAACUAGUUGGGUAUUAAGCAGUUACGACUAAUUUCUACUGCUUUUAUAUUUCUGGAUUUGAGUGGCAGGGCGAGAGUAACAGCAACAGCAACAACAACAAGCACGAGAGCGGUACGAGUAACUACUUCUAGAAACAUCCGUGCAGUGUGUUUGCUGUCCCAGAUGCUGUGCUCAGCUCGGCGCCCUGCUCGGCAGGGUCCUGCGGCGCUUACUGCCCAGGGUCACACCGGAGCAACGGAACCAUGACUCACAUUCAGGUGUUUGGCACCUGAGUUGCUUGUCACAAAUACACUGAUGCUCAAGGAGGAUACCGUUGGGUUCCCAGAGCAAGCUUUCCUGGGGACAGAUGUUGGCGUAUGCUAACUAGCAUUGAUAAGGAAUCUUCUUGGAAAAAAAUCGAACCAAGCCUGGCUUACCAAAGCAGAAUGUUUUGGAACAAUAUGGAGAUGGCCACAAAAUCAAAGGAAGAAGUCCCAGCAGGGCCCAGAAAGAGCAGCUUCCCACACCUUCAGGGUGCUGGUGCCACGAGGGGCCCCUGACUCCGUCACUCCCUCCUUUGUACCAGUUCUGGACCUUAUAUGCACCUUUGUUCUGUAUUAACAUGAUGUAUCUCCAUGGUUUUCUUUCAUGGUAUUUCAUUAAGUAAUGAACUGGUCAAGAACAGAAAUAAUGUCCUGCUCAUAUCUGUGUGCCUGGUGUCUUUAGCACACAGUGCUUGGCACACAGGUACCCAGAACAUUU